rnacentral:rRNA from 1 species
AUACGGAGGGUGCAAGCGUUACUCGGAAUCACUGGGCGUAAAGCGCGCGCAGGCGGCUAUUUAAGUUGGAUGUGAAAGCCUAUGGCUCAACCAUAGAACUGCAUCCAAAACUAUUUAGCUAGAGUGUGGGAGAGGAAGAUGGAAUUAGUUGUGUAGGGGUAAAAUCCGUAGAGAUAACUAGGAAUACCAAAAGCGAAGGCAAUCUUCUGGAACACUACUGACGCUGAGGCGCGAAAGCGCGGGGAGCAAACAGGAUUAGAUACCCUAGUAGUCC